rnacentral:rRNA from 1 species
GAGUUUGAUCCUGGCUCAGAACGAACGCUGGCGGCAGGCUUAACACAUGCAAGUCGAGCGCCCCGCAAGGGGAGCGGCAGACGGGUGAGUAACGCGUGGGAACAUACCCUUUGGUUCGGAAUAACUCAGGGAAACUUGAGCUAAUACCGGAUACGUCCGUAAGGAGAAAGAUUUAUCGCCAAAGGAUUGGCCCGCGUCCGAUUAGCUAGUUGGUGAGGUAACGGCUCACCAAGGCUACGAUCGGUAGCUGGUCUGAGAGGAUGAUCAGCCACAUUGGGACUGAGACACGGCCCAAACUCCUACGGGAGGCAGCAGUGGGGAAUAUUGGACAAUGGGCGCAAGCCUGAUCCAGCCAUGCCGCGUGAGUGAUGAAGGCCUUAGGGUUGUAAAGCUCUUUUGUCCGGGAAGAUAAUGACUGUACCGGAAGAAUAAGCCCCGGCUAACUUCGUGCCAGCAGCCGCGGUAAUACGAAGGGGGCUAGCGUUGUUCGGAAUCACUGGGCGUAAAGCGCACGUAGGCGGACCGUUAAGUCGGAGGUGAAAGCCUGGGGCUCAACCCCAGAACUGCCUUCGAUACUGGCGGUCUUGAGUAUGGUAGAGGUUGGUGGAACUCCGAGUGUAGAGGUGAAAUUCGUAGAUAUUCGGAAGAACACCAGUGGCGAAGGCAGCCCCCUGGGCUAACACUGACGCUCAUGCACGAAAGCGUGGGGAGCAAACAGGAUUAGAUACCCUGGUAGUCCACGCCCUAAACGAUGUCAACUAGGUGUUGGGGAAGGAGACUUCUUUAGUACCGCAGCUAACGCGUGAAGUUGACCGCCUGGGGAGUACGGUCGCAAGAUUAAAACUCAAAGGAAUUGACGGGGACCCGCACAAGCGGUGGAUUAUGUGGAUUAAUUCGAUGCAACGCGAAAAACCUUACCUACCCUUGACAUGCCAGGAACCCUGCUGAGAGGCGGGGGUGCCCGAAAGGGAACCUGGACACAGGUGCUGCAUGGCUGUCGUCAGCUCGUGUCGUGAGAUGUUGGGUUAAGUCCCGCAACGAGCGCAACCCUUGCCAAUAAUUGCCAUCAUUCAGUUGGGCACUUUAUUGGGACUGCCGGUGAUAAACCGGAGGGAGGUGGGGAUGACGUCAAGUCCUCAUGGCCCUUAUGGGUAGGGCUUCACACGUCAUACAAUGGUACAUACAGAGGGCCGCCAACCCGCGAGGGGGAGCUAAUCCCAGAAAGUGUAUCGUAGUCCGGAUUGUAGUCUGCAACUCGACUACAUGAAGUUGGAAUCGCUAGUAAUCGCGGAUCAGCAUGUCGCGGUGAAUACGUUCCCGGGUCUUGUACACACCGCCCGUCACACCAUGGGAGCGGGUUCUGCCAGAAGUAGGUAGCUUAACCGUAAGGAGGGCGCUUACCACGGCAGGGUUCGUGACUGGGGUGAAGUCGUAACAAGGUAGCCGUA